GAUGAACGCUGGCGGCGUGCUUAACACAUGCAAGUCGAGCGGUAAGGCCCUUUCGGGGGUACACGAGCGGCGAACGGGUGAGUAACACGUGGGUGACCUGCCCUCAGCUCUGGGAUAAGCCCGGGAAACUGGGUCUAAUACCGGAUAUGACUCCAUGACGCAUGUUGUGGGGUGGAAAGCCUUGUGCGGCUGAGGAUGGGCCCGCGGCCUAUCAGCUUGUUGGUGGGGUGAUGGCCUACCAAGGCGACGACGGGUAGCCGGCCUGAGAGGGCGACCGGCCACACUGGGACUGAGACACGGCCCAGACUCCUACGGGAGGGCAGCAGUGGGGGAUCUUGCGCAAUGGGCGAAAGCCUGACGCAGCGACGCCGCGUGGGUGAUGAAGGCCUCGGUCGUAAG
rnacentral:rRNA from 1 species